UGGGGAAUUUUGGACAAUGGGCGAAAGCCUGAUCCAGCAAUGCCGCGUGUGUGAAGAAGGCCUUCGGGUUGUAAAGCACUUUUGUCCGGAAAGAAAUCCUUGGCUCUAAUACAGUCGGGGGAUGACGGUACCGGAAGAAUAAGCACCGGCUAACUACGUGCCAGCAGCCGCGGUAAUACGUAGGGUGCAAGCGUUAAUCGGAAUUACUGGGCGUAAAGCGUGCGCAGGCGGUUUGCUAAGACCGAUGUGAAAUCCCCGGGCUCAACCUGGGAACUGCAUUGGUGACUGGCAGGCUAGAGUAUGGCAGAGGGGGGUAGAAUUCCACGUGUAGCAGUGAAAUGCGUAGAGAUGUGGAGGAAUACCGAUGGCGAAGGCAGCCCCCUGGGCCAAUACUGACGCUCAUGCACGAAAGCGUGGGGAGCAAAACAGGAUUAGAUACCCUGGUAGUCCACGCCCUAAAACGAUGUCAACUAGUUGUUGGGGAUUCAUUUCCUUAGUAACGUAGCUAACGCGUGAAGUUGACCGCCUGGGGA
rnacentral:rRNA from 1 species